rnacentral:rRNA from 1 species
CCUACGGGAGGCAGCAGUGGGGAAUAUUGGACAAUGGGCGAAAGCCUGAUCCAGCCAUGCCGCGUGUGUGAAGAAGGCCUUCGGGUUGUAAAGCACUUUCAGUUGGGAAGAAAGCCUUUGGGCUAAUACCCUCGUGGAUGGACAUCACCCACAGAAGAAGCACCGGCUAACUCCGUGCCAGCAGCCGCGGUAAUACGGAGGGUGCGAGCGUUAAUCGGAAUUACUGGGCGUAAAGCGCGCGUAGGCGGUCUGAUAAGCCGGUUGUGAAAGCCCCGGGCUCAACCUGGGAACGGCAUCCGAAACUGUCAGGCUAGAGUGCAGGAGAGGAAGGUAGAAUUCCCGGUGUAGCGGUGAAAUGCGUAGAGAUCGGGAGGAAUACCAGUGGCGAAGGCGGCCAUCUGGACUGACACUGACGCUGAGGUGCGAAAGCGUGGGUAGCAAACAGGAUUAGAUACCCUAGUAGUC